rnacentral:rRNA from 1 species
UACGAAGGGGGCUAGCGUUGCUCGGAAUCACUGGGCGUAAAGCGCACGUAGGCGGAUCUUUAAGUCAGGGGUGAAAUCCUGGAGCUCAACUCCAGAACUGCCUUUGAUACUGAGGAUCUCGAGUCCGGAAGAGGUGAGUGGAACUCCGAGUGUAGAGGUGAAAUUCGUAGAUAUUCGGAAGAACACCAGUGGCGAAGGCGGCUCACUGGUCCGGUACUGACGCUGAGGCGCGAAAGCGUGGGGAGCAAACAGG